GAUGAACGCUGGCGGCGUGCCUAAUACAUGCAAGUCGAGCGAACAGACGAGGAGCUUGCUCCUCUGACGUUAGCGGCGGACGGGUGAGUAACACGUGGAUAACCUACCUCUAAGACUGGGAUAACUUCGGGAAACCGGAGCUACUACCGGAUCAUAUAUUGAACCGCAUGGUUCAAUAGUGAAAGACGGUUUUGCUGUCACUUAUAGAUGGAUCCGCGCCGCAUUAGCUAGUUGGUAAGGUAACGGCUUACCAAGGCGACGAUGCGUAGCCGACCUGAGAGGGUGAUCAGCCACACUGGAACUGAGACACGGUCCAGACUCCUACGGGAGGCAGCAGUAGGGAAUCUUCCGCAAUGGGCGAAAGCUUGACGGAGCAACGCCGCGUGAGUGAUGAAGGUCUUCGGAUCGUAAAACUCUGUUAUUAGGGAAGAACAAAUGUGUAAGUAACUAUGCACGUCUUGACGGUACCUAAUCAGAAAGCCACGGCUAACUACGUG
rnacentral:rRNA from 1 species